rnacentral:lncRNA from 1 species
UGCAAAACCUCAGGUGCACAACUACACAUGCUGACCAACAUUCCUGUAAAGUUUUGUGACUCGACGUCAAACACUUUUGCAGCUGGGCGCAACACAACAUUCUCGAAAGGACGGACGGAUAAGAGCAAAUCUAUAUGCCCCCACCACUCAUGGGGGGAGAAGGGGGGCAGGGCACAAAAAUCCACUAUUAUAAAAUAUGGGACUGCCAUGCAGUAUUACUUGGAGAUAACAACUGACACAAAAAGCUUAAUAACAUUGUUGAAAAAACUUUGUCCUAUUAUCAUACACCAUUUCCUCCUUUGUAAUUGUUCAAACACUACCUUUUAUACUUUAAACAUACAUUUUAGAUAAUAGUGACUUAUUACUUUAUUUGCUGGAAAAAAAAUUACAAUUUGCUUCAAAAAAUGGAAGGCAAUGAUCAGCAAGAUAUAUUAUUUACUCAUCAUAUUUUAUUUUCAUGACAUAAGUUAUAGUCAUAUUUUAAGAGCAUUAGUGCAAGGGAAAGAAUUCUUUCAAACACAUUAUGGAAAAUGCCAGUGGGUUAAUUCCCUUGUUUGUCUGGUAAAAUCAUUUUUCUCCAAUGCCGUUUCGAAUUUCGAGCAAGGCACACAAUAAUUUAACUAUUUUGAAAAUAAGAUUACAAAAUUCCAAAGACUAUUUGAUAUUUAUAUUCAUUAAAAUAACAGCUAGGUGUAUGCAAAUGGAUUUGUAAAAUGGAUAUGUAUGCCAGAGAACGAGAUAUCUAACUGUGUUUGGUAUGAAAGUGACAACACCAGUGUGAUGAUUGGUAAGAACUACAGCGUCCUGUCCAGGGUUUGAGAAAAAAUGCCAACAUCGUCAGCUUAAGUUGUAUGUGCCACCUUGCUAACUUGUGUGCUAAAGCUUGGAUCCAAGCAUCAUUACCAACAGAAGACUUCCUUGUUGACAUCUUCUGUCAUUUCCAUCACAGUGCGAAAAGACGAAGCGUGCACGAAGAUACAAGAGAACCCUGGUCGAGCCAAGAGGUGUGCCAACAGACUUUCUGAUGAAGAGAUCUUUUUACACUACCAGUUUCUUGGGUUCAUCAUGUCAGUGUUAGAUGAGUUCAACACCACCUUUCAGUUACUUCUGUAUCCAUGAUAACCAUCAUGACUGUACCCUGUCCGCUGAGGCCAUUUUACACCUACGCAAGUCAUCAUGGGUAGUAAUGACAUUAAGAAGGUAGACUACAAUAAUCCAGACAACUAACGCAGUGACGAGACAAUUGCCAUUGGUUUGAAAACUAGAAAGUUCUUGCGUACCCAUUGUGAAGAAGUUGAUCAGCAGAUAGUCACUGAGUUCUUUAGUAACAAUAGAAAUUUCUACAUGUCUGUUGUUGAGAAGAUGUUGAAGAAGUUCCCACUAAAUGACCCAACGCUGUUGGCCCUUGGUUUUUUUCUCACCUGAUUCCACAGACAACUUAACAGCAGAGCAAAUUGUAUGUCUAUCAGAGAGAGUACUGCCAGCGAUUGACAGAGAGAAACUUACAGAAGAAUCCGAAGAGUACUUAUUUACGCCUACCGGAGACCUUCCAACAUUUAACAGAGAAGAAACACAAGAUGUGUUCUGGGUUGAAAUGGCAGAAAGAAAACUUCCAUAUGGCAACCCACAAUAUAAACUGUUGAGUGAUUUGGAGCUUGUGACACUGACUUUACCAAAUUCAAAUUCAUCAACUGAAAGACUUUUCAGCAUGUUAAGAAAAUUACAGAUAUAUCACAGAGAGGAAACCUAGUCUUAGAUUCUGUACAUGUCAGUGAAAAUAAACAGUAUAAAUGACUGCCACACUUUCAGGCCAACAAAAGAAUUAAUUCACCCUUACCAUGCUGGACAUGAUUGGUUCUGCCUUUGCAACCAGUGCAGAUCAUGGUCAGCCUGCAUGUCCAUGCAGUCUGAUCAUGAUCUGCACUGUUCGCCAUUCAGUCAGUAUAUUUUUGGCAAGCACCCCUUUUAACAGUUAAUGGUACUGUCCAAAUUGGAAGUUGGACAAGUUCAUUAUAGUAAUUCAGCAGGGUAAGGGUAAAGAGUGUAAAAAGUGCAUGUAAUUAACCUACAAUGUUAAAGACUGGAAGAAGAGAAAUGUUCUGAGAACACUGAGACUGUAAUCUCAAUAAUCUGAACUGUGAAUUGUACUAGAGUAUAUUUAUUGACGUUUUAAUUUUAUCAGCAAAAAUGUCCAUCGCUAGAUAAAUUCUGUUGUAUCUUA